rnacentral:rRNA from 1 species
CCUACGGGUGGCUGCAGUCGAGAAUCUUCCGCAAUGGACGAAAGUCUGACGGAGCGACGCCGCGUGAUGGAUGAAGUCCCUCAGGGACGUAAACAUCUUUUAUCGAGGAGAAAGUAAUUGAUAGUACUCGAGGAAUAAGGGGUUGCUAAACUCGUGCCAGCAGCAGCGGUAAUACGAGUGCCCCAAGCGUUAUCCGGAAUCAUUGGGCGUAAAGGGUGUGUAGGUGGCGCGGUUAGUCUCCUGUCAAAACUCCUGGCUUAACCAGGAAUCUGCAAGAGAAACGGCCGUGCUCGAGGGUGCGAGAGGUCUGUGGAACUCAUGGAGUAGGGGUGAAAUCCGUUGAUAUCAUGGGGAACACCAAAAGCGAAGGCAACAGACUGGCGCAUUCCUGACACUGAAACACGAAAGCGUGGGUAGCGAACGGGAUUAGAUACCCGGGUAGUC